rnacentral:rRNA from 1 species
UAGGGAAUCUUCCGCAAUGGACGAAAGUCUGACGGAGCAACGCCGCGUGAGUGAAGAAGGCUUUCGGUUCGUAAAACUCUGUUGUUAGGGAAGAAAAAAUGUAUAGUAACUAUAUACAAAAGAGACGGUACCUAACCAGAAAGCCACGGCUAACUACGUGCCAGCAGCCGCGGUAAUACGUAGGUGGCAAGCGUUUUUCGGAAUUAUUGGGCGUAAAGCGCGCGCAGGUGGUUUAGAAAGUCUGAUGUGAAAGCCCACGGCUCAACCGUGGAGAGUCAUUGGAAACUAAUAAACUUGAGUGCAGGAGAGAAAAGUGGAAUUCCUAGUGUAGCGGUGAAAUGCGUAGAGAUUAGGAGGAACACAGGUGGCGAAAGCGGCUUUUUGGCCUGCAACUGACACUGAGGCGCGAAAGCGUGGGGAGCAAACAGG